rnacentral:sRNA from 1 species
UAGGUGUAUGCAUGAUAUUAGGUGAUGUC